rnacentral:rRNA from 1 species
GUAGCGAAAGUUACGCUAAUACCGCAUAUUUUGUGAGCAGGAAAGCAGGGGAUCGCAAGACCUUGCGCUGAUUGAGCGGCCGAUAUCAGAUUAGCUUGUUGGUGAGGUAAAAGCUCACCAAGGCGACGAUCUGUAGCGGGUCUGAGAGGAUGAUCCGCCACACUGGAACUGAGACACGGUCCAGACUCCUACGGGAGGCAGCAGUGGGGAAUUUUGGACAAUGGGGGCAACCCUGAUCCAGCCAUGCCGCGUGAGUGAAGAAGGCCUUCGGGUUGUAAAGCUCUUUCAGCCGGGAAGAAAACGCAUGGGUUAAUACCCUGUGUGGAUGACGGUACCGGAAUAAGAAGCACCGGCUAACUACGUGCCAGCAGCCGCGGUAAUACGUAGGGUGCGAGCGUUAAUCGGAAUUACUGGGCGUAAAGCGUGCGCAGGCGGUUUUGUAAGACAGGCGUGAAAUCCCCGGGCUUAACCUGGGAACUGCGUUUGUGACUGCAAGGCUAGAGUACGGCAGAGGGGGGUGGAAUUCCACGUGUAGCAGUGAAAUGCGCAGAGAUGUGGAGGAACACCAAUGGCGAAGGCAGCCCCCUGGGUCGAUACUGACGCUCAUGCACGAAAGCGUGGGUAGCAAACAGGAUUAGAUACCCUGGUAGUCCACGCCCUAAACGAUGUCAACUAGGUGUUGGGAGGGUAAAACCUUUUAGUACCGGAGCUAACGCGUGAAGUUGACCGCCUGGGGAGUACGGCCGCAAGGUUAAAACUCAAAGGAAUUGACGGGGACCCGCACAAGCGGUGGAUGAUGUGGAUUAAUUCGAUGCAACGCGAAAAACCUUACCUACCCUUGACAUGCCAAGAACUUUCCAGAGAUGGAUUGGUGCCCGAAAGGGAACUUGGACACAGGUGCUGUAUGGCUGUCGUCAGCUCGUGUCGUGAGAUGUUGGGUUAAGUCCCGCAACGAGCGCAACCCUUGUCGUUAAUUGCCGUCAUUUAGUUGGGCACUUUAACAAGACUGCCGGUGAUAAACCGGAGGAAGGUGGGGAUGACGUCAAGUCCUCAUGGCCCUUAUGGGUAGGGCUUCACACGUCAUACAAUGGUCGGUACAAAGGGUCGCCAAGCCGCGAGGUGGAGCCAAUCCCAGAAAGCCGAUCGUAGUCCGGAUUGCAGUCUGCAACUUGACUGCGUGAAGUCGGAAUCGCUAGUAAUCGUGGAUCAGAAUGUCACGGUGAAUACGUUCCCGGGUCUUGUACACACCGCCCGUCACACCAUGGGAGCGGGCUCC